UACAGAGGUCUCAACCGUUGUUCGGAUUCAUUGGGCGUAAAGGGUGCGUAGGCGGUCGUGCAAGUCGGAUGUGAAAUCUCAGGGCUCAACCCUGAAACUGCAUUCGAUACUGCGCGGCUAGAGUGCUGGAGGGGAGACUGGAAUUUACAGUGUAGCAGUGAAAUGCGUAGAUAUCGUAAGGAAGACCAGUGGCGAAGGCGAGUCUCUGGACAGCAACUGACGCUGAGGCACGAAGGCCAGGGGAGCAAACGGG
rnacentral:rRNA from 1 species